rnacentral:lncRNA from 1 species
AAUAUUUAAAUACUAAUUUCUUGAUCGAGAGAAAUCAAAAGUAUAUAUUUCUCACCAGUUCUUCUUCUUCUAAACCCUAAAACCAAAACUAAGUCAAUCUCCUUUGUUCAUUCUAUGAUUCAUCUUCCAUGAAAAAGUUUCUACCUUUAGCUUUCCUCUCGAUCGAUUUGUUGUUGUGACUUGUGAGACACGGUUUCUAUGAUCUAGGGUGAGAUAUGAAGCAGAGCGAUCAAACGGUGCUGAGGCUUGAGAACUUGUGGCGGUCGAGGGUUUUUGGUUCUUCUUCUUCUUAGUCGUCUCUCUCUCUCUUUUGGUUCUUCUUCAUGGUGGUGCUCUUGCCUCUUGCUUCCUCUUUCCCUUUCAAGGUACACUGCUAUGUUUCUUUUGAAUUCAUCGUAGCUGAAAAAGCUUGUACCUUUAUAGCUUUCCUCUCAUCGAUUUGUAGUUGUGACGUGUGUGAUACGGUCCGAUGAUCUAGGGUUAGAUAUGAAGCAGAGCGAUCAAACGUGGCAGUCGAAGCUUUUGGUUCCUCUUGGGAUCUUACUACCUCUCCUUCGUCUUCAUGGUGGUGCUCUUGCUUCCACUUUCUCCUUCAAGGUACACUGCUCUGUUUCUUUGGAUCUCUCUCUCUUCUUGUUCCUCUCUGACUUUGGAAUUUAUAUCUGUCUCGAUAUGGUCUUGUUGAUGUUGAUCUCUUGUGUCUUAGGUUUACUAUAUCAAUCAUCUUAAAAGAUUUGGUAUCCAUCUCCUUUUGGAACUACAAGAUUUGGUAUACUGCUUAACUGGUUUGAUUUGCGUUGUUUUAUUAAACUUAUUACUGAAUCUCAUGUUGGAUUGUGGUUGCUUCCCGACCACAUUGAAUCACUUGUCUGCAACAACUUACAGAACUCAAUCUCAUAGUCGUUAUAGCCUUAUAGGUGUCUAUGCCAUAUACGAUUGAUGCAAGCUUGUCUACUUUUUAAUUCAUCCAUCAUGAUUCACCAUAUUGUUAUUAAUCAUCUCUUUUGUUUUGUAAUGAGUGUUCAUGAUUCUCUGUUUCCUUUGUAUCUCCCUUUUUUAUAUGAUUUUGUGUAAUCCGUAUGCAGUGUUAGAAUUCCUUUUUUGCUAAUAACUACUACAAAUCCAUUGAUAUGCAGACAAGGUUUCUGACCCUUGAUAUGACUUAUGUUUGUUCUUGGUUUGAUAUUAUGUUAUACUUCUCUGUUGUUGUUUUUCUCUUGGUUUUUGAUUUUGGUUCUACUGUCUUUGCAGGUCAUUGUGAUGUUCUCUAUUAUUAUGAAGAUUUGAUCAAGAGGACUUCCUCACAGUUAUCAAAAAGAAGAAGGAUCAUGUAGCAUCAGACCAUAACUACAUUUAUAACUGAGGUAUAUGCUGCUUUACUCAUUCGAUUUGUGAGUUUCAUUGCAUUGGUUUAUUAGAUUACUAUACCGAGUUUAUGUUGCUUUCUGACCACGUAGAAUUACGUGUCUGCAACAUACAGAAAUGAAUCUCAUAGUCAUGUAUGCAUAUACGUUUGGAAUGAUGCAAUGCAAGCCAUUUUUCUCUACUUUUUAGUUCAUCAAUCAUGUUGACCUUAUGAUUCCUAUCUCUGUCUCCUUUGUAUGUUUAUAUGAUUUUGUGUAUUCAUUGUUAGAUAAUCAAGAUUUUUC